rnacentral:rRNA from 1 species
GAUGAACGCUAGCGGCAAGGCUUAACACAUGCAAGUCGAGGGGCAGCGAGAGAGUAGCAAUACUUUUGCGGCGACCGGCGACGGGUGCGUAACGCGUAUGCAACCUACCUUAUACAGGGGGAUAACCUUUCGAAAAGGGAGACUAAUACCGCAUAACAUUACUUUGAGGCAUCUUGAGGUAAUUAAAUCUUCGGAGGUAUAAGAUGGGCAUGCGUAGCAUUAGCUAGAUGGUGCGGUAACGGCGUACCAUGGCGACGAUGCUUAGGGGUUCUGAGAGGAAGGUCCCCCACACUGGUACUGAGAUACGGACCAGACUCCUACGGGAGGCAGCAGUGGGGAAUAUUGCGCAAUGGGGGAAACCCUGAUGCAGCAACGCCGCGUGAGGGAAGACGGUUUUCGGAUUGUAAACCUCUGUCCUCUGUGAAGAAGAAAGUGACGGUAGCAGAGGAGGAAGCCACGGCUAACUACGUG